AGGCGGUUAGUAUAAGGAGUACAUUAGCUUGUCACGCUAAAAGUGCAUGAGUAAUCAAGCACCGCCUG
rnacentral:tRNA from 1 species